GUGGGGAAUAUUGGACAAUGGGGGGAACCCUGAUCCAGCAAUGCCGCGUGUGUGAAGAAGGCCUGAGGGUUGUAAAGCACUUUCAGUAGGGAGGAGUAUGCUUAGGUUAAGAGCUAGAGUAUAGGACGUUACCUACAGAAGAAGCGCCGGCUAACUCCGUGCCAGCAGCCGCGGUAAUACGGGGGGCGCAAGCGUUAAUCGGAAUUAUUGGGCGUAAAGGGUGCGUAGGUGGUUUGGCAAGUUAUGUGUGAAAUUCAAGGGCUUAACCUUUGAUGGUCAGAUAAGACUGCCAGACUAGAGUAUAGGAGAGGGUAGUGGAAUUUCCGGUGUAGCGGUGAAAUGCGUAGAUAUCGGAAGGAACACCAGUGGCGAAGGCGACUACCUGGCCGGAUACUGACACUGAGGCACGAAAGCGUGGGGAGCAAACAGGAUUAGAUACCCGUGUAGUCC
rnacentral:rRNA from 1 species